rnacentral:rRNA from 1 species
GAUGAACGCUGGCGGCGUGCCUAAUACAUGCAAGUCGAGCGAACAGAUAAGGAGCUUGCUCCUUUGACGUUAGCGGCGAACGGGUGAGUAACACGUGGAUAACCUACCUUUAAGCCUGGGAUAACUUUGGGAAACCGGAGCUAAUACCGGAUAAUAUAUUGAAACAUAUGGUUUAAUUGUGAAAGGUGGAAUUGCUGUAACUUAUGGUUGUCUCCGGGUCGUAUUAACUAGUUGGUAAGGUAACGGCUUACCAAGGCAACGAUAAGAAGCCGACCUGAGAGGGUGAUCGGCCACACGGGAACUGAGACACGGUCCAGACUCCUACGGGAGGCGGAAGUAGGGAAUCUUCCGCAAUGGGCGAAGGCCUGACGGGGCAACGCCGCGGGAGUGAUGAAGGUCUUGGGAUCGUAAAACUCUGUGAUCAGGGAAGAACAAAGUUGUAAUUAACUGUGCACAACUUGACGGUACCUGAUCAGAAAGCCACGGCUAACUACGUG